GGCAGUUCUCGGGUGACGCAACCCGGAAUCCGGCUCCCUCCUCUCUUGAUUCCAGUGCAUCACCUGAGAACUGCA
rfam:Myotis brandtii contig257972, whole genome shotgun sequence.